GAUGAAGAACGCAGCGAAAUGCGAUAAGUAAUGUGAAUUGCAGAAUUCAGUGAAUCAUCGAAUCUUUGAACGCAUCUUGCGCUCCUUGGUAUUCCUUGGAGCAUGCCUGUUUGAGUAUCAUGAGCAAACCUCAAAGUCAAUACCUUUUGUUAAUUCAAUUGGUUUUGCUUUGGACUUGGAGGUCUUGCAGAUUUCACAGUCUGCUCCUCUUAAAUGCAUUAGCUGGAUCUCAGUAAUUAUGCUUGGUUCCACUCGGCGUGAUAAGUAUCACUCGCUGAGGACACUGUUAAAAAGGUGGCCAGGAAAAUACUGAUUGAACCGCUUCUAACGGUCUAUUAAGUUAGACAAUUACCCUUAAGUUUGAUCUCAAAUCAGGUAGGACUACCCGCUGAACUUAAGCAUAUCAAUAAGCGGAGGA
rnacentral:misc_RNA from 1 species